rnacentral:rRNA from 1 species
UACGUAGGGUGCGAGCGUUAAUCGGAAUUACUGGGCGUAAAGCGUGCGCAGGCGGUUCGUUGUGUCGGUGGUGAAAGCCCCGGGCUUAACCUGGGAAUGGCCAUGGAAACUGGCGAACUGGAGUGUGGCAGAGGGGGUGGAAUUCCGCGUGUAGCAGUGAAAUGCGUAGAGAUGCGGAGGAACACCGAUGGCGAAGGCAGCCCCCUGGGCUAGCACUGACGCUCAGGCACGAAAGCGUGGGGAGCAAACGGG